GAUGAACGCUAGCGGCAGGCCUAAUACAUGCAAGUCGGACGGGAUUGAGAAGCUUGCUUUUCAUGAGAGUGGCGCACGGGUGCGUAACACGUAUGUAACCUACCUUAAUCAGGGGGAUAGCCUCUCGAAAGAGAGAUUAACACCGCAUAAAAUCAAUUUAUGGCAUCAUAGAAUGAUCAAAUAUUUAUAGGAUUAAGAUGGGCAUGCGGAACAUUAGCUAGUUGGUAAGGUAACGGCUUACCAAGGCUACGAUGUUUAGGGGAUCUGAGAGGAUGACCCCCCACACUGGUACUGAGACACGGACCAGACUCCUACGGGAGGCAGCAGUAGGGAAUCUUCCGCAAUGGACGAAAGUCUGACGGAGCAACGCCGCGUGAGCGAUGAAGGCCUUCGGGUCGUAAAGCUCUGUUGUUAGGGAAGAAUAAGUGCUAGUUGAAUAAGCUGGCACCUUGACGGUACCUAACCAGAAAGCCACGGCUAACUACGUGCCAGCAGCCGCCGUAA
rnacentral:rRNA from 1 species